CGGCGGACGGGUGAGUAACACGUAGGCAACCUGCCCUCAAGCUUGGGACAACUACCGGAAACGGUAGCUAAUACCGAAUAGUUGUUUUCUUCUCCUGAAGAAAACUGGAAAGACGGAGCAAUCUGUCACUUGGGGAUGGGCCUGCGGCGCAUUAGCUAGUUGGUGGGGUAACGGCUCACCAAGGCGACGAUGCGUAGCCGACCUGAGAGGGUGAUCGGCCACACUGGGACUGAGACACGGCCCCAAACUCCUACGGGAGGCAGCAGUAGGGAAUCUUCCGCAAUGGGCGAAAGCCUGACGGAGCAAUGCCGCGUGAGUGAUGAAGGUUUUCGGAUCGUAAAGCUCUGUUGCCAGGGAAGAACGCUUGGGAGAGUAACUGCUCUCAAGGUGACGGUACCUGAAAAGAAAGCCCCGGCUAACUACGUGCCACACCGC
rnacentral:rRNA from 1 species